UGCUCAACUCAAAUAGUCCUGUGACUCCUCACCAGGACUACCCUAGCCAAGAUUUUGCUAAAUUGAAAUAUGACUGUACACAGCUCCUGAACUGGAGUGGUCAAUCCCAUCUUGACACACGCACCGACAAGUCAAGUACUUGACUACAUCCAGUAGCCUUCCGUCAUUGAAUUAGAAAUUCAGAUAGUCCAAUGCCUAAGUACAGUGAGUUACUUGCAAGUCACCGUGGUGGUCUC
rnacentral:lncRNA from 1 species